rnacentral:rRNA from 1 species
GGGGAUUAGCAUAUCAAUAAGCGGAGGAAAAGAAACCAACUGGGAUUGCCUUAGUAACGGCGAGUGAAGCGGCAAUAGCUCAAAUUUGAAAGCUGGCGUCUUUGGCGUCCGCGUUGUAAUUUGUAGAGGAUGCUUCGGCGAGGGCUCCGGUCUAAGUUCCCUGGAACGGGACGUCAUAGAGGGUGAGAAUCCCGUAUGUGAUCGGUUGCCUAAGCCAUGUGAAGCUCCUUCGACGAGUCGAGUUGUUUGGGAAUGCAGCUCUAAAUGGGAGGUAAAUUUCUUCUAAAGCUAAAUACCGGCCAGAGACCGAUAGCGCACAAGUAGAGUGAUCGAAAGAUGAAAAGCACUUUGGAAAGAGAGUUAAAAAGUACGUGAAAUUGUUGAAAGGGAAGCGCUUGCAACCAGACUCGUCCGCAGUUGCUCAGCCGGUCUCUUGACCGGCGUACUCUUCUGCGGCCGGGCCAGCAUCAGUUCGGGCGGCCGGAUAAAGGCCUCGGGAAUGUAGCACCCUUCGGGGUGUGUUAUAGCCCGGGGUGGAAUGCGGCCAGCCUGGACUGAGGAUCUCGCUUCGGCUAGGAUGCUGGCGUAAUGGUUGUAAGCGGCCCGUCUUGAAACACGGACCAAGGAGUCUAACAUCUAUGCGAGUGUUUGGGUGUCAAACCCAUGCGCGUAAUGAAAGUGAACGGAGGUGGGAACCCUCACGGGUGCACCAUCGACCGAUCCUGAUGUCUUCGGAUGGAUUUGAGUAUGAGCAUAGCUGUUGGGACCCGAAAGAUGGUGAACUAUGCCUGAAUAGGGUGAAGCCAGAGGAAACUCUGGUGGAGGCUCGCAGCGGUUCUGACGUGCAAAUCGAUCGUCAAAUUUGGGUAUAGGGGCGAAAGACUAAUCG